ACUCAGAGAAGGAACUUGGAAGAAGCUUCUUUGAAGAAGUCAUAAGUUCACAUUCUACUUCCCUUACAAAGUGUUUAACCUUGGGAAAAAACAUAAAAUGGAGAUAAUAAAUUAUAUCUCUGCAGAAUGUUACAAUGAUAAAUUAGAUAAAGAAACCAGGGCUCAGAAAGAUGAAGUAACUUGUUCAAAGUUGGGCAGCUACUUUGACAGAGUAGCUGACAUUCAAGCUGACAUUUGACAGAGCUGAAAUUCAAGCCACCAACUACAAGAUUCAUAUUCUCUUCAUCAGGCUGUUUACUGUAGGCAAAAAUACUAUUUUACAGCCAUGAUUAAACAACUUUCUAGCAAA